UACGAAGGAUUCAAGCGUUGUCCGGAUUUACUGGGUUUAAAGGGUGCGUAGGCGGAAAUAUAAGUCAGUGGUGAAAUCCCGCAGCUCAACUGCGGAACUGCCAUUGAAACUGCAUUUCUUGAAUACGGUUGAGGUAGAUGGAAUGUAACAUGUAGCGGUGAAAUGCUUAGAUAUGUUACAGAACUCCGAUUGCGAAGGCAGUCUACUAAGCCGUUAUUGACGCUGAGGCACGAAAGCGUGGGGAGCAAACAGG
rnacentral:rRNA from 1 species